rfam:Cathartes aura contig45330, whole genome shotgun sequence.
AAGGCCCUAGCUUAAUUAAAGCAUCUGGUUUGCAUUCAGAAGCUAUAGGUUAAUGUCCUGUUGGUCUUA